rnacentral:lncRNA from 1 species
GGCUUCCCCCACCCCAGUGUCUCACACCAAUAAAUAUGGAUUAGGGAAAUGGGCAGAGUUUUUCCCACGGGCCUGAAAGGCCACAUCUGACCUUUCUACCCGCUUUAUGUACCAACGUGACAGUCAGAGAGAGCAAAGAGCAGGACCCCCUGAGAUGCCCCCCUCCCCCAUGGCCUUCUGACUUCGAGAAACUUUUCACCCUCCUCCUCCUACCCAACCCCAGACCAGGUCUCAGCCCCGCCUGCGCCUCUGUCCCAGGAUUGAGGAAGAGACUGGUUUGGAGGAGGGGGUCAGGAGCUCCAGGCUCGGUGUCUGCCUCAGGCUCUGCCCACCCUGACUGGCACAGAGCCAGCAGCGCGGGCAGCGAUCAACAUCUGUCAAGGCCCUUCCUGCCUCCUGUACCAGUCUUCGGCUCCUUGGUUCCCUGUCCUGCCCCCCUCUGCCCUCUCUGGCCCCCUUUCUGCCUGGCGCCUCCUCCACUGAGAGCGCCCCCCCGCCCAAUUUCUCUCCUUUCCCAUCACUCUCUUCUCUACUUUGUUUCACUCUUUCUUCCUUCUCCGGGAUGGACUGUCUUCGCUCAGUCCCCUCUACUUCUCCGUACCCCGCCCCCCACCAAACUAGGAAUCCUCAUGGCUGACGUGGCUGAAGUCCCGCAGAGAAGAUGGCAGGAAGGGGUGUGAAGGAGAGAAGGGUGGGGGCAGUGAUCUCUCUCCCUGGUUCCCUGGCUCACUGGCCACCGGCUGGGGGUGGAGACCAGCGGCUCUGAAUGGAGGCAGUGUAGAGACAGGAAAAGCAAACACCUCAGCCUGGGCCACGCUUUCCUGCUUGGUGAGAGUAGGGGAGGAUGGGGCAGGGGCCUGCGCUCAUCCCAGCCUCCCCAAUCUGCCCUCUCCCCACUCCUGAAGACCCCACCGUCUCUGUAAGGGCAGUGGCAUUAAAGACUGGGGACAAGCCCUCCAGGAACACCUUUGCCCAAAUCUCUCCCUGCCCCUCUGCCCAACCCCUGGCCAGUGCCCUUCCUGCCCAGCAGAUGCCAGGGAAAUCUGUGGCCGGGAAGGGCGGUCUGGGAUCUGAGUGCCCGUCUGAGCAGCCCUUAGCAGCAGGAACUGGGCAGGGAAAUCACUUUGUGGCAGACGUGCCCGGCAAUACCAUCCGCCUCCUGGGCCCAAUGCAGAACCAAAAUUCUCUGCCUGGGAGGUCUCCACUAAAGGUCAUUGUGGUCAUUCCCCUGCACCUGUGCAUCUGCCCAGGCCAAGCUCUGCUCACAAACAAGAAUCAAUCUAGUUUUUAAAGGCACCUGCUCCAAGGAUGGAAUUCCCCCUGGGGGUAAUCAGACAUUUAUUUAUUCAUAGCCUUCUGGCUGGGAGGGGAGGCCCUCCCACCCAGAAGUCACCGGUGGGUGGGUGUCCAGCUGCCU